rnacentral:rRNA from 1 species
GGUGUAACGCUGGACGGAGUGCUUAACACAUGCAAGUCGACUCGAGGUCUUCGGGACUUAGGGUGGCGCACGGGUGAGUAACGCGUAAAGAACAUGCCUCUUAGGCUGGGACAACAUCUGGAAACGGAUGCUAAUACCGGAUAUUAUGGUUUUUUCGCAUGGAGGAAUCAUGAAAGCUUGGAUGCGCUAAGAGAGAGCUUUGCGUCCCAUUAGCUAGUUGGUGAGGCAACGGCCCACCAAGGCAAUGAUGGGUAGCCGGCCCGAGAGGGUGAACGGCCGCAAGGGGACUGAGACACGGCCCUU